rnacentral:lncRNA from 1 species
ACAACGACUUGACAGCCAUUCCAUCUCAAACACAGACCUGCCUUGUAUGAUGAAGUGAGGUUCCCCCCCCUGCAAGAAAGCCUAUUCUCCUCUCUCUUCACAUAGCUUUAAGGCUAGAAAAACCUAAGCCCAAGUUGAGCUACAGCAGAGCAAGGGAACAAGAGAAUUAUGCUGAAGUUCCUGUGGGAAAGGUGUGUUUGAGAAGCAUUUAAUGAAACUGGCAUCACAUGAGAGUUCCGGAAGGCAGUUCCCAUCAUACAAGGCAGCAGAAGGCCAGGUCUUUGGAGGGAGCUCAUGAGCUUUCAGUCGUGAAACUGGAGGGGAAACUGCAGGGCUCAAGAUCACAGCUGAUUCAUUCUCCUGUCAGGUGA